CCUACGGGAGGCUGCAGUAGGGAAUUUUCGGCAAUGGGGGGAACCCUGACCGAGCAACGCCGCGUGAACGAAGAAGUUAUUCGUAAUGUAAAGUUCUUUUAACAGGGAAGAAAGAGAAAUUUGACGGUACCUGAAGAAUAAGAUCCGGCUAACUACGUGCCAGCAGCCGCGGUAAUACGUAGGCAGCGAGCGUUAUCCGGAAUUAUUGGGCGAAAAGGGUGCGUAGAUGGCAUAGUAAGUCUUUUGUAAAAAUGCGGGGCUCAACCCAGUAGGGCAAAAGAUACUGCAAAGCUAGAGUAUGACAGAGGCAAGUGGAACUAGAGGUGUAGCGGUAAAAUGCGUAAAUAUAUGUAAGAACACCAGUGGCGAAGGCGGCUUGCUGGGUCGAUACUGACAUUGAGGCACGAAAGCGUGGGGAGCGAACAGGAUUAAAUACCCCGGUAGUC
rnacentral:rRNA from 1 species